rnacentral:rRNA from 1 species
CCUGCGGAAGGAUCAUUACCGAGUGAGGGCCCUCUGGGUCCAACCUCCCACCCGUGUCUAUCGUACCUUGUUGCUUCGGCGGGGCCGUCGUUUCGACGGGCGGCGGGGAGGUCUUGCGCCCCCGGGCCCGCGCCCGCCUAAGAGCGCAUCAUGAAGCGCUGUUCUGAACGUAUGCAGUCUGAGUUGAUUAUCGUAAUCUGUUGAAACUUUCAACAACGGAUCUCUUGGUUCCGGGAUCGAUGAAGAGCGCAUUGAAAUGCGAUAAGUAAUGUGAAUUGUUUAAUUCAGUGAAUCAUCGAGUCUUUGAACGGACAUUGAUGCCCCGUGGUAUUCCGGUGGGGCAUGCCUGUCCGAGCGUGAUUGCUGCCCUCAAGCACGGCUUGUGUGUUGGGCCCCCGUCCCCCUCUCCCGGGGGACGGGCCCGAAAGGCAGCGGCGGCACCGCGUCCGGUCCUCGAGCGUAUGGGGCUUUGUCACCUGCUCUGUAGGCCCGGCCGGCGCCAGCCGACACCCAACUUUAUUUUUCUAAGGUUGACCUCGGAUCAGGUAGGGAUACCCGCUGAACUUAAGCAUAUCA